rnacentral:rRNA from 1 species
AGCGAACGCUGGCGGCAGGCUUAACACAUGCAAGUCGAGCGGGCGUAGCAAUACGUCAGCGGCAGACGGGUGAGUAACGCGUGGGAACAUACCUCUUGGUUCGGAACAACACAGGGAAACUUGUGUUAAUACCGGAUAAGCCCUUACGGGGAAAGAUUUAUCGCCGAGAGAUUGGCCCGCGUCUGAUUAGCUAGUUGGUAGGGUAAUGGCCUACCAAGGCGACGAUCAGUAGCUGGUCUGAGAGGAUGAUCAGCCACAUUGGGACUGAGACACGGCCCAAACUCCUACGGGAGGCAGCAGUGGGGAAUAUUGGACAAUGGGGGCAACCCUGAUCCAGCCAUGCCGCGUGAGUAAUGAAGGCCCUAGGGKUGUAAAGCUCUUUUGUCAGGGAAGAUAGUGCGGU